rnacentral:rRNA from 1 species
AGCAAUUAUACAGCGAAACUGCGAAUGGCUCAUUAUAUAAGUUAUCGUUUAUUUGAUAGUACCUUACUACUUGGAUAACCGUGGUAAUUCUAGAGCUAAUACAUGCUGAAAAUCCCGACUUCGGAAGGGAUGUAUUUAUUAGAUUCAAAACCAAUGCCCUCUGGGCUCACUGGUGAUUCAUGAUAACUCUUCGAAUCGCAUGGCCUUGCGCCGGCGAUGGUUCAUUCAAAUUUCUUCCCUAUCAACUUUCGAUGUUUGGGUAGUGGCCAAACAUGGUUGCAACGGGUAACGGAGGGUUAGGGCUCGACCCCGGAGAAGGAGCCUGAGAAACGGCUACUACAUCCAAGGAAGGCAGCAGGCGCGCAAAUUACCCAAUCCCGACACGGGGAGGUAGUGACAAUAAAUACUGAUACAGGGCUCUUUUGGGUCUUGUAAUUGGAAUGAGUACAAUUUAAAUCCCUUAACGAGGAACAAUUGGAGGGCAAGUCUGGUGCCAGCAGCCGCGGUAAUUCCAGCUCCAAUAGCGUAUAUUAAAGUUGUUGUGGUUAAAAAGCUCGUAGUUGAACCUUGGGCCUGGCUGGCCGGUCCGCCUCACCGCGUGUACUGGUCCGGCCGGGCCUUUCCCUCUGUGGAACCCCAUGCCCUUCACUGGGUGUGGCGGGGAAACAGGACUUUUACUUUGAAAAAAUUAGAGUGCUCCAGGCAGGCCUAUGCUCGAAUACAUUAGCAUGGAAUAAUGAAAUAGGACGCGCGGUUCUAUUUUGUUGGUUUCUAGGACCGCCGUAAUGAUUAAUAGGGACAGUCGGGGGCAUCAGUAUUCAAUUGUCAGAGGUGAAAUUCUUGGAUUUAUUGAAGACUAACUACUGCGAAAGCAUUUGCCAAGGAUGUUUUCAUUAAUCAGGAACGAAAGUUAGGGGAUCGAAGACGAUCAGAUACCGUCGUAGUCUUAACCAUAAACUAUGCCGACUAGGGAUCGGACGAUGUUAUUUUUUGACUCGUUCGGCACCUUACGAGAAAUCAAAGUGCUUGGGCUCC